CUUCACAUCCGCUUUCUCGAAUCCAGCACACAUCGUGCACGGUUAAACUCUAGGAUCAUGAGCCUACUACAGAAGAGGAACCACGGACGCACAAGGAGGUGGCUGGUGCACGCACGGGGCCCACCGUUGGCCAAUGGCAGCUCCUGAAUCGCCCAUCAACGCGAGCUCCAGGAUUCAGCUCCAGCUGCUGCCGGGGCCGGGACAGAGGUCCAGCUACAGUAGGCCGCAGCCCAGCAGCUGCAGCAACAGCAGGCGGGAGGAAGAGGAGUAGGGUACAUCUGUACGCAAUGCAAGUCUUUUCUGCAGGCGGACGUUGGAAUGGGGUCUAAGGAGAUGGUUUGCUGCAUGCUGUCCGCCUUGCAACCGAGCCUGUCAUUUUAAAAGCAAACAAACCCUACCGCUAUUUGCAAGUUACUGAAUUAGUUCCAGGAGACUGGCCGGGAGGUCGGCAGAGCCAUUUGCACUGGGUGGGGGAAAGUUCCUCUGAAAUGUAUUAAAUCUGCUGAGUUCAGAAAUCAAAUGCAACAAAACAAAAGGAUCCUGUAUCGGUCUAAUUUAGGGUGAUCAGAUGUCCCGAUUUUAGGGUCUUUUUCUUACAUAAGCCUAUCCAGUUUUUUCACAUUUGCUGUCUUGUCACCCUAUUCUAAUUCGAACUGUGGCUGCCCUCCAAACUAUUGGAAAAUCUGAAGGUGGGGGUGGGUUAUCAUUACAGUCAUCCAAUUCCUAGCUGCAAAGUAUUCAACUUCUGCAGCACCCCAAAAAUAGUCCUGGUGUCAUCCUUGCAAGAUGUGUCUGUUAACUAGCUUUGGACAUUUUUGCAGGAUAACCCUGAUAUCUACAACUCCUAAAAUACAAUCUGCUAAACUUAAAAUUAAAAAAAUCUCCAAAGAGGGCACGAGAAACAGAAAGCCACCAGUCAAUUGUGUGUAGCUCUGAAUCAUAGAACCACAAAGUUAAAAGGGACCGCAAAGGUCAUCUGGCCUAACCCCCAACCAUCCUUGAUGAUGGAGGCUUGUGUGAUUAACAGCAGACAGCAAAAGCAUUGCAUCAUGUAUUGGAAGCUUGAGAUCUCUUGAUAUUGCAACAUAAAAAAACCAGUUGAUAA